rnacentral:rRNA from 1 species
GACAACGGCUGGCGGCGUGCCUAACACAUGCAAGGUCGAACGGGGUGAUUCCUUCGGGGAUCACUUAGUGGCGAACGGGUGAGUAACGCGUGAGAAACCUGCCUUUCAGUGGGGGACAACAGUUGGAAACGACUGCUAAUACCGCAUAAUGUUUCGAGAGGGCAUCCUCUUGAAACCAAAGCUUUAUGUGCUGAAAGAUGGUCUCGCGUCUGAUUAGCUAGUUGGUGAGGUAACGGCUCACCAAGGCGACGAUCAGUAGCCGGUCUGAGAGGAUGAACGGCCACAUUGGGACUGAGAUACGGCCCAGACUCCUACGGGAGGCAGCAGUGGGGAAUAUUGGGCAAUGGGGGAAACCCUGACCCAGCAACGCCGCGUGAAGGAAGAAGGCCUUCGGGUUGUAAACUUCUUUUGCCAGGGACGAAGAACGUGACGGUACCUGGAGAAAAAGCAACGGCUAACUACGUG